rnacentral:rRNA from 1 species
GGCUCAGAACGAACGCUGGCGGCAGGCUUAACACAUGCAAGUCGAACGCCCCGCAAGGGGAGUGGCAGACGGGUGAGUAACGCGUGGGAAUCUACCCAAUUCUUCGGAACAACUGAGGGAAACUUCAGCUAAUACCGGAUGUGCCCUUCGGGGGAAAGAUUUAUCGGAAUUGGAUGAGCCCGCGUUGGAUUAGCUAGUUGGUGGGGUAAAGGCCUACCAAGGCGACGAUCCAUAGCUGGUCUGAGAGGAUGAUCAGCCACACUGGGACUGAGACACGGCCCAGACUCCUACGGGAGGCAGCAGUGGGGAAUAUUGGACAAUGGGCGCAAGCCUGAUCCAGCCAUGCCGCGUGAGUGAUGAAG